AAAUUGAAGAGUUUGAUCAUGGCUCAGAUUGAACGCUGGCGGCAGGCCUAACACAUGCAAGUCGAACGGUAACAGGAAGCAGCUUGCUGCUUUGCUGACGAGUGGCGGACGGGUGAGUAAUGUCUGGGAAACUGCCUGAUGGAGGGGGAUAACUACUGGAAACGGUGGCUAAUACCGCAUAACGUCGCAAGACCAAAGAGGGGGACCUUCGGGCCUCUUGCCAUCAGAUGUGCCCAGAUGGGAUUAGCUAGUUGGUGAGGUAACGGCUCACCAAGGCGACGAUCCCUAGCUGGUCUGAGAGGAUGACCAGCCACACUGGAACUGAGACACGGUCCAGACUCCUACGGGAGGCAGCAGUGGGGAAUAUUGCACAAUGGGCGCAAGCCUGAUGCAGCCAUGCCGCGUGUAUGAAGAAGGCCUUCGGGUUGUAAAGUACUUUCAGCGGGGAGGAAGGCGUUGUGGUUAAUAACCGCAGCGAUUGACGUUACCCGCAGAAGAAGCACCGGCUAACUCCGUGCCAGCAGCCGCGGUAAUACGGAGGGUGCAAGCGUUAAUCGGAAUUACUGGGCGUAAAGCGCACGCAGGCGGUCUGUCAAGUCGGAUGUGAAAUCCCCGGGCUCAACCUGGGAACUGCAUUCGAAACUGGCAGGCUUGAGUCUUGUAGAGGGGGGUAGAAUUCCAGGUGUAGCGGUGAAAUGCGUAGAGAUCUGGAGGAAUACCGGUGGCGAAGGCGGCCCCCUGGACAAAGACUGACGCUCAGGUGCGAAAGCGUGGGGAGCAAACAGGAUUAGAUACCCUGGUAGUCCACGCCGUAAACGAUGUCUACUUGGAGGUUGUGCCCUUGAGGCGUGGCUUCCGGAGCUAACGCGUUAAGUAGACCGCCUGGGGAGUACGGCCGCAAGGUUAAAACUCAAAUGAAUUGACGGGGGCCCGCACAAGCGGUGGAGCAUGUGGUUUAAUUCGAUGCAACGCGAAGAACC
rnacentral:rRNA from 1 species